AGUGAACGCUGGCGGUAGGCCUAACACAUGCAAGUCGAACGGCAGCACAGUAAGAGCUUGCUCUUACGGGUGGCGAGUGGCGGACGGGUGAGGAAUACAUCGGAAUCUACUUUUUCGUGGGGGAUAACGUAGGGAAACUUACGCUAAUACCGCAUACGACCUACGGGUGAAAGCAGGGGAUCUUCGGACCUUUCGCGAUUGAAUGAGCCGAUGUCGGAUUAGCUAGUUGGCGAGGUAAAGGCCCACCAAGGCGACGAUGCGUAGCUGGUCUGAGAGGAUGAUCAGCCACACUGGAACUGAGACACGGUCCAGACUCCUACGGGAGGCAGCAGUGGGGAAUAUUGGACAAUGGGCGCAAGCCUGAUCCAGCCAUACCGCGUGGGUGAAGAAGGUCUUCGGGUUGUAAAGCCCUUUUGUUGGGAAAGAAAAGCAGCAUGUUAAUCCCCCGCUGUUCUGACGGUACCCAAAGAAUAAGCACCGGCUAACUUCGUG
rnacentral:rRNA from 1 species